rnacentral:rRNA from 1 species
CCUACGGGUGGCAGCAGUGGGGAAUAUUGCACAAUGGGGGAAACCCUGAUGCAGCGACGCCGCGUGAGUGAAGAAGUAAUUCGUUAUGUAAAGCUCUAUCAGCAGGGAAGAAAAUGACGGUACCUGAGUAAGAAGCCCCGGCCAACUACGUGCCAGCAGCCGCGGUAAUACGUAGGUGGCAAGCGUUAUCCGGAUUUACUGGGUGUAAAGGGCGUGUAGGCGGUGGUGCAAGUCAGAUGUGAAAGCUAUGGGCUCAACCCGUAGCCUGCAUUUGAAACUGGACUUCUUGAGUGCUGGAGAGGAGAGCGGAAUUCCAUGUGUAGCGGUGAAAUGCGUAGAUAUACGGAGGAACACCAGUGGCGAAGGCGGAUUGCUGGACAGUAACUGACGCUGAGGCGCGAAAGCGUGGGGAGCAAACAGGAUUAGAUACCCGAGUAGUC